rfam:Bacillus cereus 03BB102, complete genome.
UAGAACUGCUAUUCUGAAGUAUGGAAAGAUGGAGUAACGUCCUGAAACAUACUCACUGAAGCUACGGCAAGCGAUAGCGAUAAUGCAAACAUCAACAUCGUUUGAAGCCCGUUAAAGUAGGCUGAAGUUCACCCUAACGUAAAGACGAGGAAAGGGAGGUAUAAAUCUUCUGUGAAUGAUAGGUCUGGUGUCUAUAAA